AUUGAACGCUGGCGGCAUGCUUUACACAUGCAAGUCGAACGGCAGCGCGGGCUUCGGCCUGGCGGCGAGUGGCGAACGGGUGAGUAAUGCAUCGGAACGUGCCCAGUAGUGGGGGAUAGCCCGGCGAAAGCCGGAUUAAUACCGCAUACGACCUGAGGGUGCAAGCGGGGGACCGAAAGGCCUCGCGCUAUUGGAGCGGCCGAUGUCGGAUUAGCUAGUUGGUGGGGUAAAGGCUUACCAAGGCGACGAUCCGUAGCUGGUCUGAGAGGACGACCAGCCACACUGGGACUGAGACACGGCCCAGACUCCGACGGGAGGCAGCAGUGGGGAAUUUUGGACAAUGGGGGCAACCCUGAUCCAGCCAUGCCGCGUGCGGGAAGAAGGCCUUCGGGUUGUAAACCGCUUUUGUUCGGGAAGAAAUCCUCUGGGCUAAUACCCCGGGGGGAUGACGGUACCGGAAGAAUAAGCACCGGCUAACUACGUG
rnacentral:rRNA from 1 species